CUGCUCCGUGCCGCUACUCUCAUAUUUAACACCACGAGAAUGAGAGCGCCUUCUUGCUGCUGUGGGUCGUCCGCCAUUUCGUUGCCCUCCCUCUUCCUCCCCAGUCCGUUCCGCAGAAACCCUAGUCCUCGCCCCGCUCGAUCCCUUUCCGUCUCCACUGCCGAGCCCGAGGUCUCCGAGGAGGGCUCCGCCAAGCCCCUCCGCCGCCGCCGCCUCAUCCUCCUCCGUCACGCAGAAAGCGCUCUCGGGGACCGCUUCACGAAAGGUAGGGACCAUGAUCGCCCAUUGAGUAAAGCUGGGCGGGCUGAUGCGAUUAGUGUAUCUUACAAGCUCCAGCAGAUGGGAUGGAUACCUGAGCUUAUUCUAUCCAGCAAUGCCACUCGAACAAAGGAAACUCUACAAAUCAUGCAAGAACAUGCACAGGGGUUUUCUGAAGCCGAGGUAUAUUUUAUACCAAGCUUCUACUCUGUUGCAGCCAUGGAUGGCCAGACUGCUGAGCACCUUCAGAAGGCUGUCUGUUCUCAAAGUGAAGGUGAUGGCACAGGUGCAUGGGACAUAAUAGGGGGUGGGAGGAAGCAGCCUCAAUGUUCUCUGGUGCUACAGUAGAAUUGAAGACCUGCAAUGCUGCCUUGCUCGAAGCUACUGGGAAAUCAUGGGAUGAGGCCUUCACUUUGGCUGGCCUUGGAGGUUGGAAGCUCUGUGGAGUUGUGAAGCCUGAUUCCACAUUGUGAGAUGUUCCACAAUUUUGACUAGCGAGCUUUCUUAGCUUUGACUUGUAUUUGUGGAGAACAGGUUAUAGCUUUGCACAAAUCUUCAUCUGAGGCUGCCAGCUUAUCUUACAAAUACUUUUGUUCGUGACUGAUGAGGCGUAUAAUAAUGAUGCCCAAGUUGGUCUCUUCCACUUUUGGAUGCUGAGGCAUAUGCGAGUAUAUCCAAAUUGGAGACAGUUUCGAUGUGUUUUUUCAAGCUUUGCGCUUAAUAGAAGAAAUUUCUGACUUAUUCACUAGAGAAAAUAUUUCAAGUUCAAGAAAGAGAAGCAAAUUUUUAGCCAUUUCUCCUUGCAGAAUUUGCUAUGAAUAUGAAACGGAGGUUACUGUGUGCUU